CCUACGGGAGGCUGCAGUGAGGAAUAUUGGACAAUGGGAGAGAUCCUGAACCAGCCAAGCCGCGUGAGGGAAGACGGCCCUAUGGGUUGUAAACCUCUUUUGUCGGAGAACAAAACCCGGGAAGUGUCCCGGACUGCGCGUAUCCGCAGAAAAAGCACCGGCUAACUACGUGCCAGCAGCCGCGGGAAUACGGAGGAUGCGAGCGUUAUCCGGAUCUAUUGGGUUUAAAGGGUGCGUAGGCGGUCAGUUAAGUCAGCGGUAAAAUUGCGGGGCUCAACCCCGUCGAGCCGUUGAAACUGGCAGACUUGAGUUGGCGAGAGGUACGCGGAAUGCGCGGUGUAGCGGUGAAAUGCGUAGAUAUCGCGCAGAACUCCGAUUGCGAAGGCAGCGUACCGGCGCCAGACUGACGCUGAGGCACGAAAGCGUGGGGAUCGAACAGGAUUAGAUACCCGUGUAGUC
rnacentral:rRNA from 1 species